UACGUAGGGUGCGAGCGUUAAUCGGAUUUACUGGGCGUAAAGCGUGCGUAGACGGUUAUUUAAGUCGGAUGUGAAAGCCCCGGGCUCAACCUGGGAAUUGCAUUCGAGACUGAAUAGCUAGGGUGCGGUAGAGGGAAGCGGAAUUUCCGGUGUAGCGGUGAAAUGCGUAGAUAUCGGAAGGAACAUCAGUGGCGAAAGCGGCUUCCUGGACCAGCACCGACGUUCAGGCACGAAAGCGUGGGGAGCAAACAGG
rnacentral:rRNA from 1 species